AGGGAUAUAGCUCAGUUGAUAGAGUGCUUGUCUCACAUACACAAAGUCCUGGGUUCAAUCUCCAGCAUCCUCC
rnacentral:tRNA from 1 species